rnacentral:rRNA from 1 species
UAGGGAAUCUUCCACAAUGGACGCAAGUCUGAUGGAGCAACGCCGCGUGAGUGAAGAAGGUUUUCGGAUCGUAAAGCUCUGUUGUUGGUGAAGAAGGAUAGAGGCAGUAACUGGUCUUUAUUUGACGGUAAUCAACCAGAAAGUCACGGCUAACUACGUGCCAGCAGCCGCGGUAAUACGUAGGUGGCAAGCGUUGUCCGGAUUUAUUGGGCGUAAAGCGAGCGCAGGCGGAAUGAUAAGUCUGAUGUGAAAGCCCACGGCUCAACCGUGGAACUGCAUCGGAAACUGUCAUUCUUGAGUGCAGAAGAGGAGAGUGGAAUUCCAUGUGUAGCAGUGGAAUGCGUAGAUAUAUGGAAGAACGCCAGUGGCGAAGGCGGCUCUCUGGUCUGCAACUGACGCUGAGGCUCGAAAGCAUGGGUAGCGAACAGG